rnacentral:rRNA from 1 species
UACAGAGGUCCCAAGCGUUGUUCGGAUUCACUGGGCGUAAAGGGUGCGUAGGUGGUGAGGUAAGUCGGAUGUGAAAUCUCGGAGCUCAACUCCGAAAUGGCAUUGGAAACUACCUCGCUAGAGGAUCGGAGGGGAGACUGGAAUUCUCGGUGUAGCAGUGAAAUGCGUAGAUAUCGAGAGGAACACCAGUGGCGAAGGCGAGUCUCUGGACAUUUCCUGACGCUGAGGCACGAAAGCCAGGGGAGCAAACGGG